UGGGUUUGCUUGUCCGGCCAACUGAAGCUCCGACAGCCACGGCGGCGCCGACGCCUGUCACCGGAAAUUUCUCUGGUUGCCAAAAAUUACCAAAAUACACAUCCCCAUUCGAUUUUUGAAGUAGAUUCUAUUUUUUAAGUUAAUUUUUACAAAAAAAUGACCCGAAAGUGGCCAAAAGAGCAAAAGCCAGUCCAGUUUUUUUUUAACAUUCAAAUCUUCAUCAAAAAUCACAAAACUUUAUACUACCACACUCCUUGCAACUUCUACAAUACCACUAUAUUUUUAAAAUAAAGCAAAACAGCCCCUAAAAUUUAUUUUUUUUUCAUUUUGGCAUUUUUUCAAACAGUUAGCAUACAUAUAUAAAAAUUAUUUCCUUUUCCCUAAUCUAAUUCAAAUCAUUUUCCAAAUUUUUAACAAUACAACAAUAACAAUAAAAGACCACAAAAGCCAGAAAAUUAAACGAUAAAAUAUGGCUUUAACAUGGUUAACAAAAAAAUGAAAAAAAUACCUCAAUCUAAGCAAGAGUUUCACGGUCAAAAUUUUGAAGGGACUCCCAGGCUUCAUUCCUUCGUUGCUUGCUUUGUUGUAUUUAAAUUGUGUGUAGAUGUGUUGUGUGAAUUGAGAAAAUGGAGGGAUAGAGCCGAAAGGAUCAGAGAAAUUUUUUUCUCCUUCUUCCUCUCUGUUUUUUUAUUUCGGCAGCCUAAGCUGAGAGAAGAAGAGAGUGAGGGUCUCUCUGCAAAAUUUUCUUCUACUCCAUUGAGCCAGC
rnacentral:lncRNA from 1 species